CAAAUUAGAUAUCCAUUAGUUUCUCUACAGAAUUAUUUCUAUAAACUGUCUCAUCUUUGGGGAAGCUCAUGAGAAUCUGAGAUAAAUAGGAUCUCUAAACAAACUUUUGGCUAGUCAUACUAGUGAAAUAAACAGAAAAUUGGAAAAUGAUGAAAUAUUCUACCUAUUAUAUGUUUAAUUCAUCAAGUGCAUUUUUAAAGGAUAAGUUUCUUUCUGCAUAGUUCUAAGAAGGGAUUAAUCAAAUAUGCUAAAAUAUAAUGUUUUGUUAAAAGAAAUUAUGGGUGUUGAAGGAGGCAGGCUGCCUGGGCCCCACACCUGGCUUUGUGUGAUUUUGGACAAGUCAUUCAAUCUUUUGGGCCUUGGUUUCCUCAUCUCUGAAUGAUAAUGUUUUGAAGAUAAAAUAACAUAUGAAGUAUUUAUCAUGAUAUGUAUAUUAGUUGAUGGCUUUAAUCUAAAAUUAACAGAAAUUCUGACUCAAACUGACUGAAAUACUAACACAUUUUUUUUUUCUCAUGUAACAGGAAGAUCAAUGGUAGGGCAUUGGUUACUUCCCUUAAGGGGUGGUUGAGUCAUAGCUCUAUGAUGUUAUAGAGAUCUAGGUUCUGUCCCUCUUUGAUCUCCCAAUUCUUAGUGUCAGCUUCAUGCAUAGGUAGUAACAUGGCCAUAGCAGUUUCUACAUAUGACAAAACCCAGAAGAACAAAGGAUGCUAUUUGUGGACUGGAUAUUUGUGUCCCCGACAAAUUCAUGUUAAAACCCAUUCCCCAAUGUGAUGGCAUUAGCAGUUGGACCUUUGGGAGGUUAGUAGGAUUAAAUGAGGUCGUAAUGGUGGAGCCCUCAUGAAUGGAAUUAGUGUCCUUAUAAGAGUCACAAGCUUAUUUCCCCUCUCUGCUCUCUACCAUGUGAUGAGAAAAUGAGAAGUCCCCAGUCUGAAACCUGGAAGAGAGCCCUCAUCAGAAACUGACCAUGCUGGCACCCUAAACUUGGACUUCCAGCCUCCAGAAUUAUCAGAAAUAUACUUCUGUUGUUUAUAAGCCACCCAGUUUAGGAUAUUUUGUGAUAGCAGCCUAAGCUGAUUAAGAUAUUACUCCAUUUUGCAGCUUCUCUUAAACAGGGAUAGUGGGAACCUUCAUGAAAACAUCUUUGUAGUUUUCUUUGCCCAUUACUGAAUCACUAACAAAGGAAGAGAAAUUCCCCUUAGGCUCUACCACAUACAACUUCCGGAUUUGAAAAUGGAAGUUUUUUCCCAAGGUGAGAAGUGGAUAUUCCAAAAUCAUGCAAACAAUUUUGAUGGCAUAAGAACAUCUUCAGGGCCUAGUGUUACAAGUAAUUGAGUUCUCUGCACCUUUGGAGAUGUGUCAUAUUGACGUCACUGAGGAAAAAGCACCAGGAAAUAGGUUUUCCUUGCUAGCCAUUAGGAUGAUUUUCAAGAUCCUAAUUUUUGUAGAAUAAAGAGUUAAAUAUAGAAUUUUUGGUACUUCUCACAUUUAAAAUAGGAUAGUAAAAUACUGAUUCUUCAGUAUCAAUUUUUAAAUGAAAUUAUUAUAAAAACUUAAUUUGCAUGGGCAUUUCACAUUCUUAUGGUUUGAGCCUUCAUGUGCCUGUAGAGAAAGGUAGGGCAAAUAGAAAUCUAUUUAUUUCACAGGUGUAACCAGGGGUGGAAAGGUAAAGUGAUUGUACUUAACAUCACUCUUCUCACUAACCCUAACCCCAGGCCUUUUCAUUUUACCGUCAACACGUGCCUAUUGUUUCCCUUGAUGUUCCGUCUCUUCAACAAGGGGAUUUGCUCUUUAAGGCACGGGAUAUAUCCUCUAUGUAUUCUGGUGUCUAGUAUUUUAGAUUUAGGAAAUGUUUGUUGAUUGUAAAUGAUUUGCAGAACUAAAGCAAGCUUAAUAAUCUUGAGUUUGAAUUUUUCCUUGACAAUGAUACACUUCUAGGCAAAGCAAUCUCCGGCCUGGAUCAGUCUUGGAGGGCAUUUAUUUAUACAAGGAAACUCAUUCUCUUAUGAAAUUAAAAAAUAAAGGCAAUUUGGGUCUUAAUUUCCUCCUCUUGACUUUUCAUGGCUACUUCAUAGAAUUUUUUACAGGUUAGAUUAUAUUUUAAGACACAAAGCUACUAGCGCACCAGAAAACCUGAGGAUUAUUUAGCCAAAGACAGAUGUAAACAGAGCCAAAAUUAAAUCCAACCAAGAUAAACAAAAAAGAAAAACCGAAACCAUUCCCUGGAAGCAAACAGAAUUAUCAGCUUCCAAACGGAUUUUCCAGGAGAGAAGAGCACAGUCAAUUAGAAAUGGAUCAAACUAAUAUAUGCAGUUCAGGGUAAGAUAACAACACUAGCAUCAACAAAAAUCCACCAUGAUUAAGUAGUCCAAGAUAGUUUAGCUCUGUGUCCCCACCUAAAUCUCAUCUCCAACUGUAAGGCCCACGUGUCAGGGGAGGGGCCUGGUGGGAGGUGAUUGAAUCAUGGGAGUGGACUUCCCCCUUGCUGUUCUCGUCAUAAUGAGUGAGUUCUCACGAGAUCUGGUGGUUUAAAAAUGAGUGGCCCGUUGCCUCUGUCUCUCCUGCCACCGUGAGAAGACGUGCCUUGCUUCCUGUUUGCUGUGAUUGUAAGUUUCCUGAGACACCCAAGUCCUGCGUCCUGUAAGCCUCUGGAACUGUGACGUGCCUGCUCCCACUUCGCCUUCAACUAUGAUUGCAAGUUUCCUGAGGCCUCCCCAGAAGCUGGGCAGAUGCUAGCAUUAUGCUUCCUGUACAGCCUGCAGAACUAGUAGAGUCUUGCUCUGUCACUCAGGCUGGAGUGAUGUGCGAUCUUGGCUUACUGCUACCUCUGCCUCCCAGGUUCAGGUGAUUCUCUUUCCUCAGCCUCCUGAGUAGCUGGGAUUAAGGGACCUGGAUGAAUUUGGAAACCAUCAUUCUCAGCAAACCGACACAAGAACAGAAAACCAAACACCAUAUGUUCUCACUCAUAGAUUGUGCCUGCUUCAGCACCACAUGUUCUUCCAAUGGAGGCAUCCGACACCUCUAGCACUUCCUGUCUCAAGCAAGGAUGGCUCACUCUAUCGGGGUUGUUGUCUAAGGAUCCACUGAACCCAUCUUCAGACCUGAACUUCUAGAAAUUGUAUGUGAGAUUUUCUGUAACAGUAAGUGGACAUUUUUCUUCGGAGUUUAAAAAAUUUUAAGAGUAGUAAACUAGAUGUUGAACUAUUUGUUUCAUACCCUGAUGUAUAGACAAAGGACAUUACCAGGCAGCAUACACACAGAGGCUUCCGGAAUAACAUCCCUGGGAACACACACAGAGACAAGAGGAUAUGGUGUCCCAUUUAGGCCAUUGCACUCUGCAAUAGCAGAUGGGGUUGUUCAGGCUCUGGAGGAAAAACACAGCCCUCAAGUUGUUGGCUUUUAGCUGAAUCGUUAGAGAUACACUUCUCCGGGUGUAACCAAGGUCCAUGGUCUAAGCCUUAUGGUAAUAGUCAAGUGUCCCAGAAAAUCCUGGUCUCCACUCAAACUCUGCUACUGCAUUCAUCAUUGGUUCAGUGGGGCAAGGAAGGAGAGAUUUUCCCUCUAAUGUAGUCUGGGAGCUGGGGUCCAUGUUUUGUGGUUGGAAAGAAGCCUAAAAAAAGAAAGAGGGAAAAGAAGAUGUGGAACAAGAGGAGGAAACAGAUGUGCAGAGGGAAAAGGGACAGCAUAUGUGCAGAUGUGCAGAGGGACAGCACUUCUAAGCCUAAGUCACUCCUACUGGGAUGGAUUUGGAAAUUGUAGCAAAAGCUGGAUGAGAAAGUAAGAAAACUCUGGUUCCUUGUUUUUCACUCUGAAGUUUAACACCUAGUUGAGAAUAAACAGGCUUUGGAUCAAAAGGAGAUGGUCCAAGAAAUCACUUCUGUUACUCCCCACUGUAGGUAACUUUAGUUGCCCUCCUUUCUCCCAGUUUGAUGCAUCCAAGUAUUCCUUGAUUUACAAAGAAGCCAAGCACUCUGCUCCCUUUACUUCCAUAGGCACUGCUCCUAGUGUCAUCGCCAGAGAAGCUGUUCAUUGUUAAUUCAUCUGUUUGGUUAUGUUUGGUUAUUUAUAUGCUGAUUUAGUUUAUGAUAAAUUUGUUGUGUCCACAGGAGCUGCUGUAAUAAGAUUCUGACAUCCUAGCUCCUAUGUGUUCAGAUAUAAAAGCUGGGAAGAAGCUGAGAAAAACCAGAGGAGCUUCUGGGAAAUGGCCAUAGGGAUCAGGAUCUAAGGGGACCUGGGAGGCUGCUGUAGUAGCCAUGUAACUCUGCUCCAAACCUCCUGGAUUUAGCUCUUCACUUUGUUCUCUGCCUAACAUGCUAUUUGCAAGCCCUCUAUUUUUAAAAAAAACAUAACUAUCUGAAAAAAGGUUGAAAAUUAAAUCAUUCUUACUUUGGUGUUAAUUCAUUAUGUUUCUCCCAAUUUGCAGCUGAGUUCAGAUGCAUUGGUGGUUAGACUGAGAAAGGAGAGAGAGAGAGAGAGAGAGAUUAUUUUGUACUUUGGAGCCAGAGCAGAUAUUGGAAGGGUGGUAAGAUUAGAUCAUCAGCUAGGCUUUGCUCAUCUAGACCUCUAAAGAAACAUGGAAACUGGAAACUAGAUGAAUAAAAAAAAAAGUGGUGAGAAGCAUCAAGACGAGCCCUACUUAUUUCACAAUUACACUUGGGCUGGCACUGCCCCAUGACAUUUAAUGGAAUCUUCCUUUUCUUUCUCCCUCUGCACAUCUGUUUCCUCUUGUUCCACAUCUUCUUCUCCCUCCUUCUUUUUUCCUUCCCUUCCUGCCUUCUCAAAUACUUGACAUUUACUAGAUCCCAGGAGAGAACUGUUGAUACUAUAAUCCUGCUACAAAAUUGAUUAAAUUAAAUCAUUAAAGUGUUAUUAACAGAAGGGAAACUAGAGAGCAUCAGCUCCUUCAACUGGAAAAUAAAAAAAAUGAAGCUAGAAAAAGAAGUCUCCAAUUAGCACGAGGUCAUUCUGGGACUAGAAUCCAGGUUUUCUGACUCCCAAUUAAUGGUUCUUUCUGCUCCACUUAGAAAUCCCUGAAUAAGCCAAAAUCUACAUACCCCACAUGACAUUAUUUUACUCAUGAAACAAACCAUGUAAUGCCUUAUUUGUAUCAACUUUGUGCUGAAACCUGGAAAUUAAAGUGGGCAAGAAAUUCAUUUUAAAUGCACUUUAUAGUCCUUUGUUGAUAUUCCUUAAAAUUACAGAGUAGAUUCUAAUUUGUCUAUUUUACAGCUGUAGAAACAAGUCAAAGACAUUUCACAGAUGGUCCAAAAUAUAAUUUGAAUUUAGAUCAUCUAGAUCUAUUUGUCUAUUUGAAUUUGCUGAUUCUUCAUUCUCCUUAAAUUUCAAUAUGAACCAAUCACAGUUGUGAACAUGAAAAUGUUAGAGGGAGGCAGUAAUACUAAACAGAAAAGCCUAUUAUGUACUGUUGAUUCCUGGAAAUCACAUGGUUUGGCUUAGCAGUUUCAUCCUUCCAUCUUAAAGGAGCUCUAUGGAACUAAUGGCUGUACAUUACAUGAGUGAGGACAGGCUGAGCUGCGUAAAUAUGCAAUAGAGGCUUCAAAGGCUGCAACAGCCCUGGGUGUAUAAAGCAGAAUAGCUAGCAUUAGUAAUAGUCAAAAUACAGUAUUUAUUCAGCUUCAUCCCCCUAUGUACUACAUCCCCCUUGCAGCUGCAAUUUCUCCCACGUUUCCUGGAAUGGUAUGUUGGACUGAUUUAUUGAGUAGACAUAGUGAUACAGUUUGAAUAUCUGUCCCCUCCAAAUCUCAUGUUGAAAUGUAAUGCCCAAUGUUGGAGGUGGGGCCUGAUGGGAAGUGUUUGGGUUUAGAGGAUCCAUCAUGAAUGGCCUAGCACCAUCUGCUCGGUAAUGAGUGAGUUCCUGUUCGGUGACUUUACCCAAGAUCUGGUUGUGUCAGAGUGUUUCACCUACCCCUUCUCUCUCUUGCUCUCACCCUAGCCAUAUGACAUGCUCAUUCUCCCUUUGCCCUCCACCAUGAUUGGAGCUUCCUGGGACCCACACCAGAAACUGAGCAGGUGCUGGGACCAUGCUUCCUUUACAACCUGCAGAAACCUGAGCCAAUUAAACCUAUUUUCUUUCUAAAUUACCCAGUCUCAGGCAUAGUGACACAAAAGUGGACUAAUACAUAUAGCUAGGGUUUUUUAUGAGCCUGACAAGUUCUCCUGGUUAGUAUGUAUGCUGACCUCAUUUUCCCUUACCUGCCCAGCUCAGUGUAGUUAAGCUGUUGAAGGCAAAAUUUAACAGCUAUUUAGCUUACACAUGCCUGGCAGAGUGGAGACCAGGCUGCCAGGGUUCAGUUUGCUAUUCAGAGUACUACCAAUGGUACCCAACAGUGACUAACGCCCUCCACCACCAAGAUCUAUGGGAUGAAAAUUAUUGUCUUUGUUUUCAAACUGGAAGAUUGGGCUCAGAAAAUUUAAGUAACUUGACCAAAGUCAAAGAACUCGUAAGUGGCAGGGUAACAUUUGAAUCCAGCCAGUUAAUUCUAAAGGCUGCCUUCUUAUCACACCAAAUGUCUGGAUUGAGGAGGCAAUUGGACACCAACACAUGUCUGGAGUCAGUCUUCCUAAGAGUUGCUGGUGCUAGUGAAUUAAAAUAACUAAAUAUGUAUAAACCUGGCAGGCUUAGCAUGAAAUUUUUUGACUGAGUGAAGCACUAGGAAAUAGACUAUCUCUACAGAUGAACAGCUAAGAGAGAAGAAACUUCCUAUAAUACACAAGUUUGGGGCAAGAAGAGAUGAAGUGGCUUUAGCAAUAUUGAAUUGGCAAGAAAACAUGGCUUGGUUUCAAUAGACACUUCUUCAUUCUGGAUAGAAAGAAGGAUUUAAAAACUCUAACUAUGUAAGAAACCCCAGUUCAGUUUUGGCAUGGUGUGUGACCAAAUAUAGCACUGGAGAACUAAGAUGGAUUGCUUUUCUUCUCAUCCCAGAGCCCUCCAGCUUAAGCAAGUAGAAAAGUCCUACUAGACUUUCAGUAGGGUAGCCCCAAAUACAGAUCCCAAGCCAGGAGACCCAGCAACCCAGGAGGCUGUUCCUGGCCAGUUCUGGGGACAGUUACGGCUUUUCACAGGCUCAGCAGGUAUGCUCUGAGUGCUAUGUCAUAAGGGGAUACAGGAUUUAGGACUAUUUCCUCAUCUCCACCGCAGCCCUACCCCAAUUCUGGUGAAUAUAUGGGGAUCCUGGAGCCUGGCACAAGAGGCUUUGAGCAUUCAUUUCGAGAGUUGAGAAUGGUUCUUUAUUUUCUAACUUAUAGUUUGACAUGCCAAAUCCACAUAGAUGUAAUAUACGAUGGUCCACAUCCAAAAUCAAGGAAGCAAAUGCUCAAAAUUUGAAAGUUUAUCACAACCUGGCAGAUAACAUGACAUCUCAUCUCCUCCUUCUGCAGCAAGACAACCAUAAAAAUAAAUUCUCAGUAUGUGAGUUGUAUUUAAUAAAUUACAUUUUCAAAGCAUACUUUUAGAUUAUUUUUAGAACAUUAAUGACAUCUUCCAUGAACCAGGGGCUACUCUACUCUGCUGCAGCAGUAAUUUUAAUUUGUCAUUAUCACCCCUGUGCCCUAACAUGCUUCUCUCCCAGGUGUGCCUGGAAUCUCAUUCUAGCCCAACUGUCACUGGCCUAAGCUCUCGGCCAGCAGCAGCAGCAGAGUUGGCAUCCACUUAUAUCCUGACAGGAGGUUUCUCUUUAACUGUGGUUGUUAAAUCUCUCUGUAUAAAAUGAAAAGAAAGAUGAGGCAGAGGGCAGAAAGAAACUGGAGUUACUGGCUCCUAUUGAAAGGAAGAAUGUCAGUGAUUUGCAAUAGGAAGGCCUGUUGAGUGGAAACAUGAACACCAGUCAUUAUCUGAUGCUGGUGAGAAGGUGGGACUUACGACAGACCUGAUGUGUCCUCUGGGUGAAAGCUCAUAGCAGUCUGGCAGAAGGCAAAAGAAUGCAAACCAAGAAUUCUGGCCUUCUCUGAAUAACCACUGUUCCUAUUACAAGCUCAAAAUAAUUUUUGCUGUUCAGUUCAUUAGCAAGUAAUGAUAACAUUACAAUAUUUCAGUCAAGGUGUUGUUUUGACAAUAGCAUUCACAACAACAAAAGGGUCCAAUAAGAUCUCAUUCUCUUUUUUAAGGAAAACAGAAAUAGUUUUAGUCAUUCAUCAUAGAAUUAGAUUAAAAUAAAGCUUUGAGAGAGAUAUAUACUAUGCCACCGUUUUUGGCAUAGCUGAAUGAAUUUGGGUUUCAGGAUCAGGCUGACCUGGGUUUAAAUAGUUGCCUGACCUUAGACAAGUAAUUUAACCUCUCUCAGACUUAGUUUUUUCAUCCAUAAAAUUUGACAAUAGUCACCACAUCAUGGGAUAAUUGAUAAGAUUUGAUUACGUGAGGUUAGUAAUUCAUCUAGCAAUAUGCCUGGUACCUUGUAGUAACUCAAUAAAUCCCUAUUUAGUGCUCUAUCUAUUGAAGUCCAGAAAAGUCUAUUGAUUCAAUGAACAGAGGGCCUUCCUUGAUUCCCCUGCAAAGAGCUUAAGGUAUGAUCAAAAACUAAAAUUAGAAACCAGCAACAGAAAGGGGGAAAAUAGUAGAAGAGGCUGCAGCAUCCUGGGAAGAGUCAGGGACUGAAAUCAGGAGGCGGCUUUGCUGUAGUAGAACUGUGGGCAACUGCUUAGCAUCUUAAAGCCUCAGUAUGCCCACCUACAUCAAGGAGAUAACAAUACCCUUUUUGCGAUGUUUAAGACAUCCUUCCUACGUACAGACAUUGGGCUUGAGAUUGAGUUUCCCACAAAGAUGAAUAAGACACAUUCAAUGCCCUUGAAAUAAUCUGGAGCCUAGUGGAGGAAUUAGUAACAUAUACAUAUGAAAAAGAAAAUGCUCACUGAAUAUAGGAUCAGCUUUUGCAUUCCUUCUCAGAAACAGUAUACCAAUGAUAGGCAAAGGUUUACGCCAGAUAACUUUCAAUCCAGGCUCUUCUACUUCAUGGUUGUAUAAAAUCAGGCAAGUUAUUUAACCUAUUAUUGGAAAUGAAGGAAAUCAUGGAAUUGUUGUGAAUAUUAAACCAGAUAAUCCAUGUAAAUGUGGGAACACAGUAAGCAUUCAAUAAAACGUCAGCUCUAAAGUCUGCUAAAUGUACCCCUGUACUUAGGGCUGAAGGUGACAAUUCUGAGGUGCCACCUUAUAAAUUCUCGAUUUUGGUCACACCAAUAAUCCAUUUAGAAACAUCACCUAGGCUCUAUUCUCAAAAAUGGAAUUGUUUUGGUGUUAAUAGGUACAUCUACAAUUUCAAAAGUCCCAGACAUUAGCAUGUGAUUGUUAUUCCUUGA